ensembl:snRNA U4 U4 spliceosomal RNA
AACUUUGUGCAGUGGGAGUAUCGCAGCCAAUGAGGGUCAUCUGAAGUGUGAUUACUGCUCACUGAAAACUUUCCCAAAGCAACCUACAAAUUCAAUGCAAUCCUAUCAAAAUACUAGCAACCUUUUUUGCAGAAAAGG